GGCAGUGUGACGUAGUGGUAAGGCAUAGGGCUUGUAACCGAAAUGUUGCUGGUUCGAUUCCCCACUGGGA